CAGCUGCCUACCAGCCUUACUACCAGUAAUAUUACUACUGCUUGCUUAUCAUCAGAAACAACCCGGAUGAAUUUUUCGAUGACGGCACAUAAACCGAGAAUCACGCAUGAUUAUACGUAGUCGCCGGCAGUCGAGCAGCUGCAACGGACAUCAUGUUGAUGAAGAUAUGGACGCCAACGUCUUUUACCUACCUUCUCGCUUGCCCUCUCCUCUUCUGGUAAUAUGAGGUAAUCGUGAAACUCUUUGAAGCCAAUGCUCUGGAAGAUGCCUUUCGUGUAAUCAGGUGACCUGGAAUAUAAACAUUUACUUCAAUCCUGUUCGUUCUUUCUUCUUCCGUAUCGUUUAAUCAUUUUUUUCUUUAUUUUCAUUCUAUUUCAUUGUAAAGUUAAAAUUUUAACCAAUUAACUUAUCGUUAAAUUUGUCCCUUAUUGUUCCUUAUCGUUAAUAAAUUAAUACGGACGAAUAUAACGAGAUACUCUGUUCGAUUUUUAGCUUUUUCUUUCUUUCUUUCUUUCUUUCUUUUUUCUAUUUACUUUGGCAAUAAUGAUCUUUUAUUCCUUUUCUACUUUUUAUGGUUUCAACGAAAUGAAAUUUUGUUCUUAUAUUUUAUAUGCGGGUUAUGCAUCUGCGUUAAUAUCACAAAUGAUGAAGAUAAUGAUUAAUUUAAGCAUCAUCGUGCAUUCUUGCAGACCUAUUAUGCUAACACCAAUGCAACUUAAACCAGUUUAUGCUAAUCAUGAUACGAGUAAUCUAAUACAUAUAUGUUGUGUAUGUGUAUGUGUGUGUGUGUGUGUGUGUGUGUGUGUAUAUAAGACAUUUCCCGUUGCUCGGUAUGUUGUGUCUAUGAACGAAACGGUCAACGAAAUUCUUUGACCAAGACAUCAGCAAGUUUCUUGAACGUUUAUUCUUUAUUUAAAAAGCAAUUUGUAAACGUGACGAAUCAUCGACUCUUCGAAAUUAUUAUUACAGUUUAAAAGAAAUGAACUUACGAGUUAAUUUCAAAUAGAUUUGAUUGAAGGAAAAGAAGAUACUUCUUUUACGGUUAUACGCAAUGAACUCGUACCCAUUCACUGUAGAGACCAUCGUUUCAAAAAAGAUGGAUUGCAUUUUGCACAGUCGUCGGCUUAUCACGACACGAUAGUGAUAGUGAGCUCGAGGUCACGUUAUAUGUACACCAAGCUUACGUGGCGAGAAAAUCCAAUGCUAACGUAGUCCCGUCUCACUUGUCCACACACGUGUCAAUACCAAAUAUCCAACCGCACGGUCGCUCCACCAACGAGGAAGCUGACGAAGACAACCAAGUCGAUUCUCUCUCCCUCGGUGUUCGAUUUUCUUCCCACAAUUCUGGCUCCCGUAGGAUGACUAACGUCUGCCAGUUUCUUUGGCAUCAAUCCAGGAUCACUCCGAGGGAUAGAUAGAUUUUAGCCACGACGCUUUCCCGUCUUGUCUCAACCUUGGCCAAGCAGUGACGAACAGGGUAGACACUUUUAUCAAGAUAACCUUACCAUGGAAUAUUAUUACGAAGAACAUUGAAAUCCUACGAUGAUGGACUUUUCAAGAAGACUGAUGAGACACCGGACAAAAGAAAAGUUUCGUCAUUCCAUUUUUCCAAUGAAAAUUGACAUUAAAUUUUGUAAAU